GAGGGUUCUGCUGGGGACAUACUGGAUGCUGCUCUGUGUAACAAAAUUGCAGCAUUGGGCAUCAGAUGGUUGGAGGCAGAAGGUACGGGGAAGAAAUCCAUGACAAUGAUUUUGUUUGUUCAGGACAUUUGAAUUUUUUUAAAAUCGGCAAAUAAAGACAACAUAAUUAGUUAACAACAAACUGCAUUUGUUUAGCCCGCAAGACUGAAGAACCGGCAUCAUUAAAACAGCACCUGUGGGUUUUUGUUUUGUUUUGUUUUUGUUUUGUUUUUUAAUUACCACAUUUUGGAGACGGAGGUAUACAUUUUAAUUUUCCGCCUUUUUAAAACCGGCGUCAAAGUUUAACAAGUUGAUAUUUACGAGAGAGGAGACGUUAAUUUCUGGCAGAAACCCCUCCCGAACAUCUCCGGCUGCACGAGGUGCACCGCUAGGUGGCACAGCCCACUUACAGAUCGCUGCCCUGUGCUCCCGUGCUGCCCGGGGCUGGGUGUGCCGCAAUCACAGCUCACAGAAAUGUAUAAACAAGCCAGAGAAGCGGCCAGCAUGAAAAAUUGCGAUGGAGGCAGGAAGACUUUUCAGGUAUCAGUCUUGAAUCCUGCUGGCAAACCGAGGUGGAGGCCUUGAUGUGGAAGAGAAAUAAAUGAUUCUUCUGUUUCAGGCAAAAUACAUAUGAAAUUUUUCAUACUACACUGUGGAUGCAUCAUGGAUGCUUGGACUACAGGACAAGAGCUUGUCAGGCCAUUCUCUGCAGAAAGAGUGCCUCUACCUCCAUGUCCAGGAGUGGAGUGAACGUCAUCAGUCACUGAAAACCACCCCAAGCACCCACAGAUCCACAUAAUGGUUGACUUCCAGAGGGACAUCUUGGACCCAGGUGUCCCAGGACUGGCUUCCAUUAUGGCAGAAGCAGGACUACAGCCCACAGCUGCUGGCGGAGUGAAGACUCCCACUGUGCUGUUCUGUUUCAGCAUAAUGUACCUGGUUUGUGCUUCCUCCUGAACUCUAAUGCUUUAAGCAGUUAGAUUCAACACUUUGAAAGGGUAGAUAACAGUGGAAUAAGGGGAAAUGUUUUUAAGUUGAAGGAGGGAAGAUUUAGGUUGAAUGUCAAGGGGAAGUUCUUUACUGUGAGAGUGGUGAGGUGAUGGAACAGGUUGCCCAGAGAGGCUGUGGAUGCCAUGUCUCUGGAGGUGUUCAAGGCCAGGUUGGAUGGGGCCCUCGGUAGCCUGGUCUGGAAUUAAAUGUGGAGGUUGGUGGCCCUGCCUGUGGUGGCGGGGUUGGAGCUUCAUGAUCCUUGAGGUGCCUUCCAACCUGGGCCAUUCUGUAAUUCUGUGAUUUACUUAAUGCAUGCACCAGUAAUCUGGGAUUUGAACAACUUUCAGAAUUUGGACAGCAGUAUCAAAACCACACACAGUUUUUUUAGCAGGACAAUUGGUUGUUAAUGAUUACUUAGACAAAACAAAAAGCAAACUUAAGGAUCACAAUAAAUAAUUUCAAGAUAACUGGACUGUUUUCUAUUUAGUGACAUCAGACAGGUGCAUGAGCUGUUUCUGUUUAAAAAUAUACAUUCUUUCACUUGUCUGUACAAUGGACUUCUGUACAUAAGGAUAUGACCUUCACUUUAAAGUAGUAAAGUAGUGGCAUUUCAGUGUGUAUAGCUCCUUGUUUUCACAACAUAGUUUACCGCUUUGCAAUUACAGCAUUUUUUUUUCCCCUGUGAGUAUAGAAUUUCAGCCUGUAUCUCUUGAUCAUGAAGAAAAACCAUCCUAGGCAUUGCAAAAGAGUUAGGCAUAGAUCAGUCAGGAAUUAACAGGUUAGUUAAUUUCAAGUGAUUGAGCUUUAAACAGUGUUUGGAUUAUCCCAUGUAAAUGCACCUCAUGCUGUAAAUCACAGUGGUAAAACACAGCGAUUCCUGAGGGUAUAUCAAUC
rnacentral:lncRNA from 1 species